UCAGCUUAGUACAGCUCUUGCAUAUCUAGAGAGCAAAAGAUUUGUACACAGGGACAUUGCUGCUCGGAAUGUUCUGGUGUCCUCAAAUGAUUGUGUAAAAUUAGGAGACUUUGGAUUAUCCCGAUAUAUGGAAGAUAGUACUUACUACAAAGCUUCCAAAGGAAAAUUGCCUAUUAAAUGGAUGGCUCCAGAGUCAAUCAAUUUUCGACGUUUUACCUCAGCUAGUGACGUAUGGAUGUUUGGUGUGUGUAUGUGGGAGAUACUGAUGCAUGGUGUGAAGCCUUUUCAAGGAGUGAAGAACAAUGAUGUAAUCGGUCGAAUUGAAAAUGGGGAAAGAUUACCAAUGCCUCCAAAUUGUCCUCCUACCCUCUACAGCCUUAUGACGAAAUGCUGGGCCUAUGACCCCAGCAGGCGGCCCAGGUUUACUGAACUUAAAGCUCAGCUCAGGUAGGAGUUGGCGGGAGAGAGGGCCUGGGGGUGGGGGCAGAUUAUGCUGCUUCUCCUCCUUGCAGUAAUAGCAUUUUAAGGUCAUUAUAUCAGUAUGUCUAAGGCCGAACUAUUUUUCGUUCAAAUGCAAUUACUUUUAAAAUUGAUUUGCAUUUCUUUGUACCUUGCUAGAGUCUUAAGUAAAUUAUAUCUUUAAAAUUUUAAUA
rnacentral:sRNA from 2 species